ACACAUUCCAUCCAAUCAGCAGCAGACCCUCCCUCCCAGACCCUCUCACCUCCUGGACAGCUCACUAAGAAUGCAGCUUCAAAAUUAAUGUAAAAUGGAUGCUGUCCAGGAGGUGGGAGGGUCUGGGAGGGAGGGUCUGCUGCUGAUUGGCUGGAAUGG
rnacentral:miRNA from 1 species